rnacentral:lncRNA from 11 species
GUAUAGCAAGUCACCAGGGCUGGUUGCAGUUGUUCAUAGAUGGUUGGUUGCUGCAUUGUUUCAGAGCUGACAGGAGCAGGUGCAGCAGCUCCAGUUCUGGUGGUUAGCUUGAGAGAAAGAAGCUUUGACAGGAUGUGAGGCUGUACUUUCCUUCUAAAGGCAGAAGAAUGACAGGGUGGCUUCCUCUCCCAUCACCUCCUGCACCGGUGCAGAUUGUGCUGCUGUGGCUGCAUUUGCUAGAGCAAAGAAGGGUGUGACGGCAAAAUUGUGGUGAGGAAAUGUGCCUUUCCCUUGCAUU